rnacentral:rRNA from 1 species
GCAAGUCGAACGAAGUAGCAAUAUUAGUGGCAUACGGGUGAGUAACAUGUGGGUAUCUACCCUUUGGCCUGGAAGAACACGAGGAAACUUGUGCUAAUACCGGAUAAGUCUUUACGGAGAAAGCUUUAUGCACCAUUGGAUGAGCACGCGCUUGAUUAGUUUGUUGGUAGGGUAAUGGCCUACCAAGACUAUGAUCAAUAGCUGAUUUGAGAGGAUGAUC